CCAGUCUUGCAGAAUUUUAGACCAACGGUGAGCAGGCAUCAGCAGCCGGUGUUGGUUGGAGAGACAUAACGGCAUGCAUGUGAUGCGGCUGGGGGAGUCAUCCUGCUCCUGGAAGCUGUUGUGCUGCCUCUCAGCACGACUGCUGACCUGCACCUUCAUCACAUGUAGGGCAGAGUUGAGGGUGAUGUGUUCAUUGGUGAUGCUUUUUUUGAAUGGUAUUGGUGAUGCUUUUCAGUGAAAUGUUGUGUUUGGCAGCCACUUUGUCUGGCGGCAUGAAGAACCAGGCCUUGACAGUUUCAUAAGCUGCGGCCUUCAUACUUCCACAGAUACAUUGUAGCCGAUACGACUCUGAUGGCUAGCGACAAGCAGCUCAGAGACCGGGAAUCCUACAAGCUCAUGUCCGUCCAAGAAUGGUAGACAAAAGUUUCUUGGUAUCCUGAUUGCCAUUGUGGAGCCGUGACCUGUGUCCUGCGGGAGCCAACUUGGAACUGGGAAUGCUAUUCUCAUUAUACUCUGUUUGCUGACAUCAUUGUCAUCUCAUCUGUGAUAUGUCUAGAUGAACUUCUCCACAAAAGCUUUGGGUUCUGGCAUUUCUAUGUUCAUUGCUACCAAUGUCUGGGAAGCAUAUUGAACUUUAUUUUGUGAUCUUGAUCUUCUAUUCCAUUGCAAGUUGGCUUCUGCUAAAUUUGUUGUUAUGUACUGGGAAUAUCAUCUGGAAGGCGGUUAGCCCCACGACCAUCAACAGUGAACGUGGUGCUGAAUU